GACGAACGCUGGCGGCGUGCUUAACACAUGCAAGUCGAACGGAAAGGCCCUGCUUUUGUGGGGUGCUCGAGUGGCGAACGGGUGAGUAACACGUGAGUAACCUGCCCUUGACUUUGGGAUAACUUCUGGAAACUGGGGCUAAUACCGGAUAGGAGCUCCUGCUGCAUGGUGGGGGUUGGAAAGUUUCGGCGGUUGGGUAUGGACUCGCGGCUUAUCAGCUUGUUGGUGGGGUAGUGGCUUACCAAGGCUUUGACGGGUAGCCGGCCUGAGAGGGUGACCGGGCACAUUGGGACUGAGAUGCGGGCCAGACUGCUGCGGGCGGCAGCAGUGGGGAAUAUUGCACGAUGGGCGGAAGCCUGAUGCAGCAACGCCGCGUGCGGGAUGACGGCCUUCGGGUUGUAAACCGCUUUCGCGUGUGACGAAGCGUGAGUGACGGUAAUGGGUAAAGAAGCACCGGCUAACUACGUG
rnacentral:rRNA from 1 species